rnacentral:lncRNA from 1 species
AAUUAUUUCUCUUUCUUUCUUUACUUCUUCUCUUAUUACUCUAUCUUUACUUCUCCCCUAUUACUCUUUCUUUACUUCUCCCCCUUUUUGUUACUCUAUUUACUCUAUCUUUACUUCUCCCCUAUUACUCUUUCUUUACUUCUCCUCCUUUUUGUUAUCAUCAAAUAGGUACAUAGGAAAAGACACAAUAACAACCAUUCAAACUUCAUUGAUCAAAAUAGGAACAUUUUAGUACAAUCAUGCCAAAAACAAAAGCAAAUACAAUGUUUCUCAAUCAAGAUUCAAAAUACAUGAUCAACACAAAAUACAUAUGAGAACUAGAUACAUAUCCUAGGCUCUAAACAAGAUCGUGAGACUCUCCCGGAUCGCUUGGCUACGGCUCUCUUGGGUCCCAUUUCUCCAAGAUAUUGAAGUAAUCUACUGUUUGGAGAUGAUUCGAGAAGAUUUGAGAGUGGGAAAUAGGGUUUUCGGAAGAGGACAAAGGGUAAACAGUGCCCUAGAUAGCUCACGGGUCCCCCUUUUAACAAUGGGGUCCCGACGUUGGGUCGACUCAACGUUGGGUCGACCCUAUUCUGGGUUGGGUCGACCCAAGUUCAGAAAUUUUUCCUUUCUCUUUCUUUUCGCUUCUAAAAAUUUUUCUUGCUUCCAAUCCUUACAAAUUUUUUCUGGGACAAUGAUACAUGAGUAAGGAAUCUAUAGAUUACAAGUUUGACUCAUGUUUC